CAAUUGCUUAUUGCACCACAUGUGUUUUUUAUUGAACAAAUUUCUUUGGUGGCGGGAGCAAUCCUACCGCCAGAGGUUAUAACUAAACCAAACUUUUUAUUUACAGUCAAACUUGAUUUAUUAUUACAAUAGUCAAAACUUUCAACAACGGAUCUCUUGGUUCUCGCAUCGAUGAAGAACGCAGCGAAAUGCGAUACGUAAUAUGAAUUGCAGAUAUUCGUGAAUCAUCGAAUCUUUGAACGCACAUUGCGCCCUUUGGUAUUCCAAAGGGCAUGCCUGUUUGAGCGUCAUUUCUCCCUCAAACCCCCGGGUUUGGUGUUGAGCAAUACGCUAGGUUUGUUUGAAAGAAUUUAACGUGGAAACUUAUUUUAAGCGACUUAGGUUUAUCCAAAACGCUUAUUUUGCUAGUGGCCACCACAAUUUAUUUCAUAACUUUGACCUCAAAUCAGGUAGGACUACCCGCUGAACUUAAGCAUAUCAAUAAGCGGAGGAA
rnacentral:rRNA from 1 species